rnacentral:rRNA from 1 species
UCCUACGGGAGGCAGCAGUAGGGAAUCUUCCGCAAUGGACGAAAGUCUGACGGAGCAACGCCGCKUGAGUGAUGAAGGUUUUCGGAUCGUAAAGCUCUGUUGUUAGGGAAGAACAAGUGCCGUUCGAAUAGGGCGGCACCUUGACGGUACCUAACCAGAAAGCCACGGCUAACUACGUGCCAGCAGCCGCGGUAAUACGUAGGUGGCAAGCGUUGUCCGGAAUUAUUGGGCGUAAAGCGCGCGCAGGUGGUUCCUUAAGUCUGAUGUGAAAGCCCACGGCUCAACCGUGGAGGGUCAUUGGAAACUGGGGAACUUGAGUGCAGAAGAGGAAAGUGGAAUUCCAAGUGUAGCGGUGAAAUGCGUAGAUAUUUGGAGGAACACCAGUGGCGAARGCGACUUUCUGGUCUGUAACUGACACUGAGGCGCGAAAGCGUGGGGAGCAAACAGGAUUAGAUACCCUGGUAGUCCACGCCGUAAACGAUGAGUGCUAAGUGUUAGGGGGNUUUCCGCCCCUUAGUGCUGCAGCUAACGCAUUAAGCACUCCGCCUGGGGNAGUACGGUCGCAAGACUGAAACUCAAAGGAAUUGACGGGGGCCCGCACAAGCGGUGGAGCAUGUGGNUUUAAUUCGAAGCAACGCGAAGAACCUUACCAGGUCUUGACAUCCUCUGACAACCCUAGAGAUAGGGCUUUCCCCUUCGGGGGACAGAGUGACARGUNGGUGCAUGNGUUGUCGUCAGCUCRUGUCSUGANGAUGUUGGGNUUAAGUCCCGCMACSARCSCNAACCCUUGAUCUUAGUUGCCAGCAU